GAGGAUCCUCAGCUUCAAAUACAAAGGCAUCCGAAGAAAAAGAAGGAAGCAAUCUUAAGUAUGACAUACUUGGCUGGGUGAUUCUUGCAGUCGGCAUUUUUGUUUGGCUAGGUACUGCCAAAUCUCAUGUUCCUCCCCCACCUCCAAGGUGAGAAAUCCAGCUGCCUUGUUUAGUUUCAACAGUGAGUCUCUGUUUGGGCAGAGGUGGCCAGUAGUGUAGCCAUGUUUCG
rnacentral:misc_RNA from 1 species